GGUACAGAAGCACGUGAAGGUUUUUUAAUUUAGGAGGUUUUAUGAGUGGAACACAGCUGGCGUGGACAGAGAGCGGAAGCCAUUGGAUUAUCAUCAGACAGACACAAUGGCUUCUCCUUUGUACCGUUGGAGCUUGUGGGAUACAGCUGGCUGUGAGGAGGUUUUCUGGGUGAAUGGAAAAUGUGUUGGGCCCCUCGUGUACUUGAGUGUGAAGAUUUAGUCUUUAGAUUUUGGUUAAGAGUGUUUUGUUCAGCAUUUAACUCAUUCAUUUGUUCCACUUCAGAAGUUAAAGUCCUUAUCUCUCCAUCACAUAAAAAACCCGUUGUUCCAUUUCCGCUCUUGAAAUUCAAAGUCUAAUAUUUUUUGUUCAACUAACAAACCUUUUGAGUUUUGAAAAGUUCUAUAGUCCUUUUCCACACGAGUCGCUUCAAGCGGUUUUGUAGAGUUCACUUUUGUCUCUUCCAUGAAAAUGUUUGAAAUUCUCAAAGGAAGCGGUGUAGCUCUUGUGUGUUCUGAAUUUUCAUAGAAUGGUCAAAGGAGAGACACGUGCAUUACUGGAUGUACUCUUGAAGACGAAGGGAGAUCCAACUCGUAUGCUAUAGUUCUGAUCCUUUUGAUAACACUGUAAGGAACAUAAAAGCGUUUGGAAUGCUUCUGAGAUGCGGGUUCACGGUUUAUUGGCGAUACGCUUGCAAGCGAAGGAGAACAAGGUCACCAAUGUUAAAGGUUAAAUCUCUUCUAUGUUUAUUUGCCUAUUUUUUCCAUUGUGACUCUGCUCUUUAGUAAGUUAGACUUAAGUUGAUGCAAAAUAUCAUUUCUCUGCAUCAACGACGAAUCCAAGGCAUCAAUAGAGGUAAACUUUGCGGUCUAAUUAGCGACCAACGGUGGAGAAUGACCGUAUAAAGCUUCGAAUGGAGUCAUCUGGAUGGAUGAGUGGAAGAAAAUGUUGUGCCAAAACUCGGUUAAGUGCGUGAACUUGGACCAUUUACGAGGAUGAUCACUCACAAAACACCGUUGUAUAUCUCAAGACAUUUGUUAACGAUAUUUAUUUGUCCAUCAGUUUUCAUAUGGUAUGCUGUGGUGAAUUUUAAUUUUGUUCCUUGCACUUUAAAUAACUCUCUCUAGAAAGAACUCGGGAACAUGGGAUCUUUGUUUGAAACAGUAGAUUUUAGAUACCGCGAAGUUUGCAGAUUUCAACAGAGAAACAAUUGGCUUGAUCUUGGGCUGUAAAUCUUGCAAGAAGGGUAAUGAAAUGACAUAAAUUGGUAAGACGAUCACAGAUGACCUAGAUGACGGUAUUUCCGAAGGAUUUGGGAAGUUGAGUUAUGAAAUCCAUGGAAAAGGAAGCACUUAGUCGGAAAAAAGUCGAUUUUAUGCCCGAGUGGCCGGUGAUAGGAGUGUUGUGGAACUCGUCAAGUAAAGCAAGUCACAGUUUAUCACAAGGAGCAUAGAAGUGGCGCAGAUGGGUGAUCAAAUCAGGAACUGUUGAUGAUAUUGCCAUAAAGAAUGGUUCUUAAGAGGAAAAGUUUCUACUAAGGGCAUCAACAACUAAGUUCGAACUCCUAGGUUUGUAAAAGAUUUCAAAGUUGAAACCUUGCAGUUUGGAGGCCCAUUUCUAUUGUUCUAGGGUUUGAAUCCUUUGUAACAGUAUUUUUGCGUAUUUGGAGCAUGAGCAAUAACGUGUUGAAGACACAGCUUCAAACGCGCGAUUUUGAGCAACGGAACCAACUCGUCGACGAAUAAGGCUCAAAAUCAAAGAAUAAUAAAUCAUCAAUUUUGUUUUUAUUUAUUCAUUGUUAGAUAGGAAAUUGAAUAAGCUUUCCAAGACUUCGAACCGGGUGCAAAUCGGAGUUACAGCUCUAAAGUUAUGGCAAAAACACUUGUGCUGAUUUUUUCAUGACAGCACAGUGGGCGCGUAGCGCCCUCUUGCGCGCGGCGCGUGUUGUACCAGAUUCAAAAGUGCAUAAAUAGGGGGAAAAUAGAUUUUUUUAGGGUAUUUGUUCCCAAUCCAUCAAACCUUCAUUUGUUGGUCUAGAUAGCUUAGAAAACACCAUUAGAGCUUGCAUUUGGAUGAUCGGAGGUGGAUUGCUCAUCAAUCGGAGCUGACAACUCGUGAGAUGUUUGGUUUAUCUUCUUCUCUUUGUAUUUCUCUUUUGUUAAGUUUGUAUGUAAAUUACUCUAAACCCAUGGAUGUUUGUUACUCUUUCUACUAGUGGUAUAAAGUUUGCUUUACAAAUCUUAA